GCAUAUCAAUAAGCGGAGGAAAAGAAACCAACAGGGAUUGCCCUUAGUAACGGCGAAGUGAAGCGGCAACAGCUCAAAUUUGAAAUCUGGCCUCUUUGGGGUCCGAAGUUGUAAUUUGCAGAGGGCGCUUUGGAGUCGGCAGCGGUCCAAGUUCCUUGGAACAGGACGUCACAGAGGGUGAGAAUCCCGUACGUGGUCGCUAGCCUUCUCCGUGUAAAGCCCCUUCGACGAGUCGAGUUGUUUGGGAAUGCAGCUCUAAAUGGGAGGUAAAUUUCUUCUAAAGCUAAAUACUGGCCAGAGACCGAUAGCGCACAAGUAGAGUGAUCGAAAGAUGAAAAGCACUUUGGAAAGAGAGUCAAAAAGCACGUGAAAUUGUUGAAAGGGAAGCGCUUGCAGCCAGACUUGCCUGUAGUUGCUCAUCCGGGCUUUUGCCCGGUGCACUCUUCUAUAGGCAGGCCAGCAUCAGUUUGGGCGGUUGGAUAAAGGUCUCUGUCAUGUACCUCUCUUCGGGGAGAACUUAUAGGGGAGACGACAUGCAACCAGCUCAGACUGAGGUCCGCGCAUUUGCUAGGAUGCUGGCGUAAUGGCUGUAAGCGGCCCGUCUUGAAACACGGACCAAGGAGUCUAACAUCUAUGCGAGUGUUUGGGUGUCAAGCCCGAGCGCGCAAUGAAAGUGAACGGAGGUGGGAACCCCUCGGGGCGCACCAUCGACCGAUCCUGAUGUCUUCGGAUGGAUUUGAGUAAGAGCAUAGCUGUUGGGACCCGAAAGAUGGUGAACUAUGCUUGAAUAGGGUGAAGCCAGAGGAAACUCUGGUGGAGGCUCGCAGCGGUUUCUGACGUGCAAAUCGAUCGUCAAAUUUGGGCAUAGGGGGCGAAAGACUAAUCGAACUAUCUAGUAGCUGGUUCCUGCG
rnacentral:rRNA from 1 species